GAUGAACGCUGGCGGCGUGCCUAAUACAUGCAAGUCGAGCGAACAGAUAAGGAGCUUGCUCCUUUGACGUUAGCGGCGGACGGGUGAGUAACACGUGGGUAACCUACCUAUAAGACUGGGAUAACUUCGGGAAACCGGAGCUAAUACCGGAUAACAUUUGGAACCGCAUGGUUCUAAAGUGAAAGAUGGUUUUGCUAUCACUUAUAGAUGGACCCGCGCCGUAUUAGCUAGUUGGUAAGGUAACGGCUUACCAAGGCGACGAUACGUAGCCGACCUGAGAGGGUGAUCGGCCACACUGGAACGGAGACACGGUCCAGACUCCUACGGGAGGCAGCAGUAGGGAAUCUUCCGCAAUGGGCGAAAGCCUGACGGAGCAACGCCGCGUGAGUGAUGAAGGGUUUCGGCUCGUAAAACUCUGUUAUUAGGGAAGAACAAAUGUGUAAGUAACUGUGCACGUCUUGACGGUACCUAAUCAGAAAGCCACGGCUAACUACGUG
rnacentral:rRNA from 1 species